AUUGAACGCUGGCGGCAGGCCUAACACAUGCAAGUCGAGCGAGCGGCGGACGGGUGAGUAAUGUCUGGGAAACUGCCUGAUGGAGGGGGAUAACUACUGGAAACGGUAGCUAAUACCGCAUACCAUCAGAUGUGCCCAGAUGGGAUUAGCUGGUAGGUGGGGUAACGUAUCACCUAGGCGACGAUCCCUAGCUGGUCUGAGAGGAUGACCAGCCACACUGGAACUGAGACAGGGUCCAGAUUCCUACGGGAGGCAGCAGUGGGGAAUAUUGCACAAGGGGCUCAAGCCUUAUGGAGACAUGCCGGGUGUGUGAAGAAGGCCUUCGGGUUGUAAAGCACUUUUAGCGGGGAGGCGUGACCCGCAGAAUAAGCACAGGAUAACUCCGUGCCAGCAGGCGCGGUAAUAC
rnacentral:rRNA from 1 species